AGUCUCGCCCAGGUGUGGCAGGAGCUUUUACCUGCUCUUCGGCAGUAGCCGGCUGCCACUCAACCCCAUGCCUGACUGAGCUGUGGUAGAAGGAUUGAGGCCAGCACAGAGGAGGAUCAGCAGGAAAUGUAAGGGUUGUCCUCAUCUAAUCCGUCAGUACCAGACAGUGAACAUCUCUCCCCCAGGAUGCUGAGGGAGGGUCCUGGAGGGAAGGAUGUGGAACUACAGCCUCUGCUCUCAAGAAGCUCAGAUCUGGGCAGGGAACAUCACAUACCAGGGCUGUCUGUCGGGGGGGUGGAGGGCUGGGGGAGGGAUAGCAUUAGGGGAAAUACCUAAUGUAAAUGACAAGUUGAUGGGUGCAGCAAACCAACAUGGCACAUGUAUACCUAUGUAACAAAUCUGCAUGUUGUGCACGUGUACCCUAGAACUUAAAGUAUAAUUAAAAAAAAAAAAAGCUUCAGAUCCCUCCUGGAGCCUCCUAUGAAACCACGUGGCAUAACUGGUGCUGUUGGUCCAGAAACUAGAAGAAUAUCAGGCCAGCCCCCUUGACUCUCUGUUGGUCCUCACUCAUAGCUACAACCCAAGCUUUAUUGUUGGUGUUUACCUUUGAAGAGUUACAGCCGACCCAGCCUUCUAAAGACUGCUUGUUUUGCCUUAAGGAUUUCCCAGUAACCUCUGCUUCUCCCCUUUUCCCCUCCUAUGAUUUUCUAUUUUCUCAUCUCUUCCCUUUCUACUUAUGGGGAAAUCAAAAUUGCAGACUUCUUCUUUUUUUUUUUUUUUUUUGAGGUAGUGUCUUGCUCUGUCGCCCAGGCUGGAGUACAAUGAUGCGAUCUCGGCUCACUGCAACCUCCGCCUCCCAGGUUCAACCAAUUCUCUUGCCUCAGCCUCCUGAGUAGCUGGGUUUACAGGUGCGCAUCACCAAGCCCAGCUAAUUUUUGUAUUUUUAGUAGAGGCAGGGUUUCACCAUUUUCGCCAGGCUUGUCUCGAACUCCUGACCUCAGGUGAUCCACCCGCCUCGACCUCCCAAAGUGCUGGGAUUAGAGGCGUGAGCGACUUCUCCCGGCCCAGAGUUGCAGACUUCUAACCCGGACUCUCUCAUAUGCAGACCCACAAAAAUAUCUGAUGGGACAAACACCUAGCUUGGAUGAAUUUGGGUAAUUUUUUUUUUCCUCCUAGGGUCCAUCAAUGAUUUCAGGGAUCUAGGUUUCCUCAGUCUUCUGUGAACAUGAAACAUUGACAGAGGCUAUAAGAUGUAUCUCCCUGUUACACCACACCCCUGGUGCACACAUACAGACACAUCUCUGUCUUCACUGCCGGGGAUGCCACUCCUGACCCCUGCCCUAACUCGUCAACUUCCUCUGCCCCUGGUUCCCCUGUCCAGGCCGAUGGCUCCCCACCAACUGCCAUGGAAUCUUCCAGCAAGGACAUUCCACUCAUCCUUCCCCACAGGGUUCUUCCUUCUUUGCUCCUUCUUUCUACCCCCAGUCUCCCUGGGGUGGGAUCUGUGGAGCCUCAGGAAGAAAGGGCAGGGCCCCAGGUAAAAGGAGCCCUUUAAGGUGGAAGGCAGGGGUGCCUCCUCAGCCUUUGUGUGUCACCACCAGGGGGCGCCCAAGGCAUUUCCAAAGCAGCUGCCCAGCGUUCACCUUACAGUAACACAGGGCGGACAGGGAGAUGCAGUUUAACAAGCAGCUAUUGAGUGCCUGCUAUUCCCCAGGAAUGGGGCCUGCUUCAUUCGGAGACUGAGAGUGGGUUCCAGCCUCUACAAAGAGACUCCUUAAAAAGAGCCAUUUGGGCCCGGGUGCAGUGGCUUACCCCUGUAAUCCCAGCAAUUUGAGAGGCCAAGGUGGGUGGAUCACCUGAGGUCAGGAAUUCAAGACCGGCCUGGCCAACAUGGCGAUACCCCAUCUCUGCUAAAAAUACAAAAAUUAGCCAGUCGUGGUGGUGCAUGCCUGUAGUCCCAGCUACUUGGGAGGCUGAGGUAGGAGAAUCGCUUGAAUCUGGGAGGCGGAGGUUGCAGUGAGCCAAGAUCUUGCCACUGCACUCCAGCCUGGGCGACAGAGUGGGACUUCAUCUCAAAAAAAAAAAAAAAAAAGACAAAACAACAAAAAAAAAGCCAUUUGGGCCGGGCAUGGUGGCUCAUGCCUGUAAUCCCAGUACUUGGGGAGGCCUAGGGCAGGAGGAUUGCUUCUUGAGCCCAGGAGUUAGAGACUAGCCUGGACAACUUAAGGAGACCCCCAUCUCUACAAAAAAAUUUAAAAAUUAGCCAGGCUUGGUGGCUCUCAACUGUAGUCCCAGCUACUUGGGAGGCUGAGGCAGGAGGAUCCCUUGAGCCUAGGAAUUUGAGGCUGUAGUGAGCUGUGUUUGCGACACUGCACUCUGCCCUGGGUGACAAAGCAAAACCCUGUCUCCCUGUCUGAAAACAAAAACAAACAAACACACACAUUUGCCUCUUCAAGGAAUUGGUUUCCUACCAACCAGCUCCUCUUACCUCCCCGGGUAGCAGCAUCUUCUCUCUGCCUCUGCCCCUCCCCUGCACUCCCCUGCUCCCCACCUUUCCCGACCCCAUUGACCACAGCUCCAUGUGGUGCCCAGUCUGCUUCUCGUAAGUCCCAGCUGCCCACUGCAGACUAGAAUUGUCCCCAGGGACAAAGGGAGGCUGAGAAUGUCCCUGGCGAGGCACUGCCCUCUCUCCCUCUGCCCGUCUCCCUCCUAGGCCCUCACUUAUGUCAAAACCACAUCUCAGUCCCAUUGCUAGUCUCCUGAGGGUUCCCCAGAGACCCUGAGUGUGGAGGGUGUGGGUUCAGAAGGACCAGGGCUGGGCUCAGGAGCAGCACUUGUCACCUGAAAGCACUGACCUGGCUGGGAGAGACUCGGGAAGUGGGCCAUGGGGGCGAUAACAAUAACAAUAAUCAUAUUAAUAAUAACACUGGGGCCCACAAAAUGGCUGUGAAAUGCCCGCUAAUGAUCCCUUAUAUUUAUAGAUCUCCUUCUCCUAGACACUUCAGAGCCAUUGCCCAAUUAACCCCCCUAGAUUCCCUAGAAGGGACAAUUAACCCCAUAUUUUAUGGCUGGGGAAACCUAGGCUCUGAGAAUGUGAUGGAGUUGGCUGAGGUCGUCCAGUCCAUUAGUGACAGCAGAAUUUGUGGAGCAGCCCUCUCUCGUUCCUUUUGUCUACAUCCACAUGCACUUAUGCUGGGCGUGGUGACUCAUGCCUGCAGUCCCACCAGCACUUUGGGAGGCUGAGGCGGGCGGAUGGCUCGAGCUCAGGAGUUUGAGACCAGCCUGGGCAAUAUGGUGAGACACUGUCUCUACUAAAAAUACAAAAAAAAAUUAGCUGGGCAUGGUGGUGCAUGCCUGUGUUCCCAGUUACUCAGGAGGCUAAGGUGGGAAGAUCACUUGAGCCUGGGGGGCAGAAGUUGCAGUGAGCUGAGAUCGAACCACUGCACUCCAGCCUGGGAGAGAGAGCAAGAUCCUGUCUCAAAGAAAACAAAUGGCUGGGCCCAGUGGCUCAUACCUGUAAUCCCAGCACUUUGGGAGGCCAAGGUGGGCGGAUCACCUGAGGUCAGGAGUUUGAGACCAGCCUGGACAACAUGAUAAAACCCCGCCUCUACUAAAAAUGCUACUAAAUCUCUACCAUAAAUAAAGAAAAAUGUUUUCUUUUUCUUUUUUUUUUUCUUUUUGAGAUGGAGUCUUGCUCUGUCACCCAGGCUGGAGUGCAGUGGCACCAUCUUGGCUCACUGCAACCUCUGCCUCCCAGGUUCAAGCAAUUAUCCUACCUCAGCCUCCUGAGUAGCUGGGAUUACAGUCAUGCGCCACCAUGCCAGACUAAUUUUUGGUAUUUUUAGUAGAGACGGAGUUUCUCCGUAUUGGUCAGGCUGGUCUCGAACUCGCGACCUCAGGUGAUCUGCCGGCCUCGGCCUUCCAAAGUGCUGGGAUUACAGGCGUGAGCCCCUGCGCCCAGCCCCAAGAAGGUGCUUUUUUCAUUUUUUUCUUUUUUUUUUUUGAGAUGGAGUUUUGCUUUUAUCAUCCAGGCUGGAGUACAGUGGCACGAUCUCGGCUCACGGCAACCUCUGCCUCCCGGGUUCAAGCGAUUCUUCUGUCUCAGCCUCCUGAGUAGCUGGGAUUACAAGCGUCCGCCACCACGCCCAGCUAAUUUUUGUAUUUUUAGUAGAGAUGGGGUUUCACCAUGUUGGCUAGGCUGGUCUCAAACUCCUGACUUCAGGUGAUCCACCUACCUCGGCCUCCCAAAGUGCUGGGAUUACAGGUGUGAGCCACCUCGCUCCGCCAAAGGUGCUUUUUGCUAAUCUGAACUCGGGCAUGUAAAGUGGGAAUAUGCUCUGUUUGAAGCAGGAGGGAGUAAAGUUACCUAAUCUAAGAACUUCCUUGUUAUAUAAGGUUAUGCAGCCUAGGCAACGUAGCCAGAUGCCCCAUUUCUACAAAAAAAAAAAAAAGUAAAAAUUAGCUGGGUGGGUCGGGCGCGAUGGCUCACAACUGCAAUCCCAGCACUUUGGGAGGCCAAGGCAGGUGGAUCACGAAGUCAGGAGUUCGAGACCAGCCUGACCAACAUGAUGAAACCCUGUCUUUACUAAAAAUACAAAAGUUUGCCAGGUGUGGUGUCAUGUGCCUGUAAUCCCAGCUACUCAGGAGGCUGAGGCAGGAUAAUUGCUUGAACCUGGGAGGCGAAGGUUGCAGUGAGCCGAGAUCACACCACUGCACUCUAGCCUGGGUGACAGAGCAGUGAGACUCCUGGAAAAAAAAAAAUUUAGCUGGGUGUGGUGGCAUGAGUCUGUCGUUCCAGCUACUUGGGAGGCUGAGGUGGGAGGAUCACUUGAGCUCAGGGGGUCGAGGUCACAGCAAGCACUGAUGGCUUCACUGCACUCCAGCCUGGGUGACAGAAUGAGACCCUGUCUCAAAAAUAAUAAUAAAAUUUAAAAACAGGCCAGGAGUGGUGGCUCACGCUUGUAAUCCCAGCACUUUGGGAGGCUGAGAAUGGCGGCUCACCUAAGGUCAGGAAUUCGAGACCAGCCUGGCUAACAUGGUGAAACCCCAUCUGUACUAAAAUUACAAAAAUUAACUGGGCAUAGUGGUGAGUGCCUGUAAUCCCAGCUACUUGGGAGGCUGAGGCAGGAGAAUCGCUUGAACCUGGGAGGUGGAGGUUGCAGUGAGCCGAGACUGUGCCACUGAACUCCAGCCUGGGCGACAAGAGUGAAACUCCGUCUGAAAAUAAAAAUAAAAAUUAAAUUAAAAUAAAAUAAAAUAAAAAGGUUGAGCGGGUGUCUUAUGCCUAUAAUCCCAGCACUUUGGGAGGCCGAGGCAGGCGGAUCACGAGGUCAGGAGAUCAAGACCAUCCUGACUAACACAGUGUAACCCCGUCUCUACUAAAAAUACAAAAAAUUAGCUGGGCGUCGUGGUACGCACCUGUAGUCCCAGCUACUCCGGAGGCUGAAGCAAGAGAAUCGCUUGAACCCAGGAGGCGGAGGUUACAGUCAGCGGAGAUUGCGCCAUUGCACUCCAGCCUGGUCGACAGAGCGAGACUCAGUCUCAAAAAUAAAUAAAUAAAGUGAUGCACUGGAGCAGGUGACCAAUGGGGCAGUGAGGCAAUGGGGACAAUAUGAACACAGGCCUGGAGAGAAGUUUCUGAAAGGCUUGGAUGCUGGGGUGUGAGGGGGUUCUGCGUGGGUGGGUCCCUGCAUUGAAUGAGCCGCCGUGCACACCAAGGUAACCAUAGACUUGCCUGCCUUUUUCAAGCAGCUGGUUCUUCUCGCAGGGCCCCACCCACCAGCUCCACUCCUGACUCUUCUUCUCCACUCCCACUCUGGCCUCUGACCCAUGCAGCCUGGGCCUGAGAUGGUCCCUCCCCAAGCUCCUGGUUUCACCUCUGAAACUCCAAGGCUCCACAUUGCUGAGAUUUUACUAUGGCUCCCAGCUGGGUCCCACCUUUGAUCUGGCUUCAAAAAAUAAAAAGCAGUACCAGGAGAGUAAUUUUCCCGACCUGCUCGGGAGGAAGGCAGGCUGGAGGCAGGUCCUGACCAGCCCGGCCCACUCCUGGAGCCUGGAGUCAGAAGCUAGUGGCAGAGGGGGCAGGGGACAGGGGAGCAAAGCCACCUUUCCUCAUUAACUUCCUCCCCUUCCUUUCUGGGGCACUGACCUGUCUCUUCCUUCCCUUCCCAGCCUGCCAAUCAGCAGGGAAAAGGAUGAUACAGCUGCUUCCCCCACACCCCUCCUGAGGCUCUCCCCACUCAACCUCUUGCCUCUUGGGCAGCAGUGCCUCAGUCCUCUCUCCACACUGUUCCCCUGGCCUGUCCCUGGGGGGUGGGGACCGAGCACUCAGGGUGGGGCCUGGUAAGGGACAAGUCUGUGCCCCCUGGCUGAGCACCUGAGACAUUACUCAGUUGGCUGUCUCAGCGCCAGCUCUGGUCUUGAGGGACUGGACUGAGGGGUGGGAAGGGGAAGGUCCAGCUUUUUAUGGGCCUUCCUGCCCACCCCUCUCCGUGGUGCUGCAAGCCCUGGCCCAGGAUUUCCGUCUUUCAGCAGCAGCACCUGCCCCUCCCAGUUCAAAGGCUCUGGCUCCUCACCUGUUCUCAGGGUGCUUGCCUGGUCCUUUUAAGUGGUUAGCAAUGCACCCCACCCCCACCCUGCUGAGGGUCUGGGCUUCUCCGUGCAGGUGGGGGACCAAGGUGAUGGGGCACAGAGUCCAGAAGCGGCAGAAACACCCUUCAACCAGAUGAGCUGUCCCCAGUAGGCACAGGGCUACCGCCCUUCCUUUCGGUGGGUAGGGAAGGAGCUGGGGUCUGGCCCUAGAGAAAACUGGCAGCUGGGUUUGGUGGAGCAAGGGCAGAGGGCAUGGGGCUGGGGCCGGGCACUUUCCAUUUGAGAAAUUCCUGUCUCAGCUUUUUAGCUCAUUGACUGAGAUGAGAGAUGGCUGCUAAGCACAAGGGACGUUCUGUUUUUCCGUCUUUAUUUUCCUAUCCUUGUACCCCGUCAGGUAAGACUCCUACCCACAUGCACAUUGUGAAAGCAUUCCCUAAAUAUUGGAGCUGGCAGAACCCACUCACUGCCCCCUUCCAGGCCCCUGGGCUUGUCAGGGGUUCUGGCCACUGCUGUGCAUUCCUUGUCUGGGCAAAGGAACAGUGAAAGCCCGAGCCCCACUUUCUCCAGGGGGAGGCCCCUUCUGGAAGUUGCCCCACCUCCACUCUCCCCUCGCCUUGCCCUAGGCACCUCUCCCUGACCUGGGGGCAGAGAGGAGAGCUCGGGGAGGGGGAGGAAGUUGGGAGCCACCUCGUCUCCAGGUGGGGCGGGGUCCCAGCAGCGAUAACCAUCUUCUUGGCAGCUCCAACCUGUUCUAUUGGUAUUUUUUUUUUUCCUAGAGGAGAAAGGUGAAGGCCUUGGCGGGGAGUUAUUCUGGCUCUGAAGUGUCCUUGCAGCUCCCCAGGCCCCUGCAGGCCUUGUGCAAGAGCUGUAAAUCUCUCACCACCCACAGGCCUGGGGGGGCCUGCCGCUGGGACUUUCAUGUCCGGAGAUUUUAUGCCUUUGCUCCUCUGUUGGGCUCCAUAGCUCCUGCCUGGGGCCUCUCCCUAGCCUGUAAAAAUCCAGUCCCAUAAAUCUCUGCUGCCCCCCAGGAGCCAAGCAGAGUUCUUCCCACUCCAACUCCCACUCAUAAGCAUCUCUCCCCUCAAGAGACCACAGUGAAGUGGCAAGGUCGAAGCAAAAGGUUUCCAAGAAGGGCAGCAGCUAAAUGGGGGUCUUCCUGGGACCUCCUCCGGCAUCAGUCUCUGCUUGGGUGGGAUUGGACUCUGUAACUGAAUGGUCUGUUUCCAGCUUCAAUGCUGGAGGGGCUUCUGGGGGUCUCUGGUGGGGAGGCCCUUGGCCUCCACUGCCUAUUAGUAUCCACCUGAGCCUCCCGAGACAGGUGGCUGUCUGUCUGCCAAGCCCCCAGGUGCAUUGGAGGUGGCAGGCAGCCCAGUGACUAUGCUGCUUUCCUGGAUCAAAAUGGGAAACCCAAGGAAAGGGAAAGGCAUAACAGUGGCUGAGGCCUGGAGGCUCAUGGAUGGACUGCACGGUCCAGUGGAUUCUGGGGUAAAACACAGUGCUUAACUUCUUAGUCUGAUGGGGGAGACUGUGCACUCGUCCAGGACCUGGGCAUUGAGAAAGGGGCCAGAUUGCCGGCACUGGGUAGGACUCAGGGCAGGGAUGAUACUGUGCCUGGGAACGUCCCAUUAGAGAAGAGGAGCACCAGACUGGCUUGGGAAGGAGGAAGAGGCGAGAGCUGCAAAGGGAGCAGGGUGUCCCCAGCAGAAAGAACAGUUUGUUCACAGGUUCCUAGGAGAGAGGAUGUGACCUGGGUGGGGGGACGCCAGCAUGUUUGCCAGGAAGGUGAGGAGCCUGGCUCCACCCUUCCUGGAAAGACAUGAGAAGGAGAGAGUGGCCUUCAUGCUGAAGGUGGGGAGAGGUAAGGUGGGCGGUGGGAGGGAGAGCUCUAUGGUGGAAGGGCUUGAGUGGGAUGCAGCUGCUCAGGAGAGAACCCAGGCCAAACUCUCACUGACCCUCCUGGCCUACUGGGAUCUCACUGCCAGAUGAGCAGACAUUGGGAAGCCCAGGAUCUCUGUUCAAAAGUCAUCUCACUCACCCACCCGCAUCCCCGCCAUGUCCAGAUUCUGACUUGCAUCCCAUCUCCCCAUGCCCACUGCCAGGCUGAGCUACUGCUCAUGGCUACCAUUUAUUGAGUACCUACUGCAUGCCAGGCACUGCUCCAAGCUCUUUACAUGCGUUGACUCAUUCAAGCCCAUUUUCCCUAUGAGAUAGGUCCUAUAAUCAGCCCCACUUUGCAGAUGAGAAAACUGAGGCAUAGUGAGCUUAAGUAACUUGCUCAAGAUCACACCACUGGCUUCACAGUCAGGAUUCCAGCCAGGCACCUGGCUCUAGAGCCCAUGUCUCCACCUCUGCCCUCUGCUACAGAAGAGGCUUCACCACCAAGGCCCGGGGAAAGGGUGUCCUCUGUGCCUCCUCCCAACUCCUUCAGAGGCCAGUGGGGUUGGCCCUGGACAUUUGGAGAGAAGCCUGCCAGUUAUCCUCUUUCCACAGGGAGGGGGCAGUUGUAGCCUAACGUUCUGGUGCUUUCUAGGGGUCCUCUGCCUUUUGGGGUAUGCUCACCUCAAAGGCAGCAUCAGGGACAAGCUCCUGAUUCCCACGGGGUGCCCUGCUUCCGCUAGUGCCCAGCAACCAUGGGGAAACUGGGCAAUAGCAAAAGUGAAACUGACUCAGCCGGUUUCCCACCCCUGCCAAGGGAAAUGGGGAGCAGCCUCGGCUGGACAACAACCAAUUAGGCACUUUUUAUUGCCCACGCUGUCAUAAUCCUCAGAGCUUGGCUACGAUGAAGGAGAGGAAAUAGGAUAGGAUGGAAUUCCAAGAUGCCUUUAGAGUUCAUCCCAGCCAUUCCCCUGCUUCUAGAUGGGAAAGUUCAAAUACCAUCCACAAGAACUUUCCUCCAAGUGAGGCCCUUAGCCCUGGAAGUCAAUAGGCCUUUGCAUCUAUUGCAUCUAACAAGAAUCAUUCAACCUCAUAGAGGGGUUUUCUCCUGUCCUUUGCUCCAGCGACUCAGGGAAGACGAAUCUUAUUUGUGUUUUUUCCCAGGACACGGUGGGUGGGGAGCUAGGCUCAUGCAGUCGUGAAGACCUCUGGUACCACCUGGAUGGUGGCAUUAGGGAUCAGGGAACUACUGAUUUUUCAAGUGCAAUCUGACUCCUCUCUCAGACUAGCAAUUCCCAGAGGACAGAGGUCUUGUCUCCUCCCUCAGACUGAAAGCUCCUGGAGAAACUGCCUUCCCUCACUUCCCUCUCUUGUCCCCUGCCCCUUCUCUCAGUUGCCCAGGGCAGAGCUUUGUCCACAGAGGGCCACUCCUGCUGUGCAUAGAACCUUGACUGUGUCGGUGACUCAGAGGGGGUUACAAUCUGAUUGGGAAGUGCUACCGUGGUCUGUCGGUGCCUCCAUUUCCUCUUGUGUAGAAUGGAGUUGUAAUGAAGAUUAAUUUUUUUUUUUUUUUGAGACGGAGUCUCGCCCUGUUGCCCAGGCUGAAGUGCAGUGGUGCGAUCUCGGCUCACUGCAAGCUCCACCUCCCGGGUUCACGCCAUUCUCCUGCCUCAGCCUCCCGAGUAGCUGGGACUACAGGCGCCCGCCACCACGCCCGGCUAAUUUUUUGUAUUUUUAGUAGAGACUGGGUUUCACCAUGAUAGCCAGGAUGGUCUUGAUCUCCUGACCUCGUGAUUCGCCUGCCUCAGCCUCCCAAAGUGCUGGGAUUACAGGUGUGAGCCACCACGCCCAGCCAUGAAGAUUAAAUUUUUAAAAAG
rnacentral:lncRNA from 1 species